AGAGAGUCUAUCAUUUGCAUAUACUGGUAUAUUCUAUUUUUUUCAGCCAACUGAAAAAUGAUUCCAAGAUUUUUAUUCUCAACAGAUUGGCAUUUCUUUUGGUCCUGUUUAAAUGUAUCCCUUCCAAUGGCCUAGAGGUUUAUUAUCAGCUUCCAUUGUUUUUCCUCUACUUUUUUUUUUUUUUUUUUUUUUGCGGUACGCGGGCCUCUCGCUGUUGUGGCCUCUCCCGUUGCGGAGCACAGGCUCCGGAUGCGCAGGCUCAGCGGCCAUGGCUCAUGGGUCCAGUUGCUCCGCGGCAUGUGGGAUCUUCCCGGACCGGGGCACGAACCCGUGUCCCCUGCAUCGGCAGGCAGGCUCUCAACCACUGCACCACCAGGGAAGCCCCUCCUCUACUUUUAUUAACAGAUGAAGGCAUUAUAUAACUUCUCUUCAAGGCUGUCUUUUGAUCUAUGGAGGAAGUUGCACUGAACUUCAAGGGAGUCUCCCAGUUCUCUCCUUUCACUGGAACCUCACGCUCACUGAACAGUGAUUCCUUGGGAAGCAGGGACCAGAUUUUGUGUUUCCCCCUCUGCACCUGUGGACUACUAUGGACUACUGUGGACUACUGUGGACUACUAUGGACUACCAGCUGCUCGGUAAGACCAUUUCAUUUUGUUUCUCUAUGAAGGGCUGCACUCAGGAAACUGAGAUCAGAGCCACAGUGGGAAACUUUUUGUGUUUUGAGACAUUUUUGUGUUCACAAUGU